CCAAAGGACUUCUUAAAGUCCAUAAAAAUUCCAUUAAAUAUAUAUAUAUAUCUAUACUACUUUAUCUAUACUACUUUAUAAAACAUAUCCAAAGGACUUCUUAAAGUCCAUAAAAAUUCCAUUAAAACACCAU
rnacentral:sRNA from 1 species